CCUUCCCAAAAUUAAAUCCAUACGGCACUGGUUCACUAUAGGCAAUUAAAAAACAGCUUAAUUGGUACACAGAAGGUGAUACACAAACAAAAUUGAUGCAUACAUAAAAGUAAAAGACCUAACUGCACAAGACUUGGAAAGAGCCUCAAAUGCACAAGACUCAGCCUCAGCCUAUACAAUCAAACUCUCCCAGAAGGCCCAAUUGCCUGGAAGUACAAGAUGGUUAGUCUUGGAAAGAGCCAUGAAAUGGGGAAAAAGAAGCUACCUUGCAACAAUGGCUAAAAUCACAGCAGACGCA
rnacentral:lncRNA from 1 species